rnacentral:rRNA from 1 species
UCGAACGGAUCCUUCGGGAUUAGUGGCGGACGGGUGAGUAACACGUGGGAACGUGCCCUUUGGUUCGGAACAACUCAGGGAAACUUGAGCUAAUACCGGAUGUGCCCUUCGGGGAAAGAUUUAUCGCCAUUGGAGCGGCCCGCGUCUGAUUAGCUAGUUGGUGGGGUAAAGGCCCACCAAGGCGACGAUCAGUAGCUGGUCUGAGUGGAUGAUCAGCCACAUUGGGACUGAGACACGGCCCAA